AUGGCGCAAUGCGAUGCUCUCCGGCGCUGCGUGGUCCUUUUCCCGCUGCCCUACCUUGGCCACAUGAUCCCCAUGCUCCGGCUUGCCGCGGCGCUGCACGCCAGCGGUCACGCCAUCACCGUGCUCCACACGGAACUCCACGCGCCGGACAAGGCGUGCUACCCUGCGGACUACCACUUCGUGGCCGUGCCCGCCCCCGACCUCCCCGCCGCGUCCGAGGACAUCGCGGCGUUCCUGGUGGCGCUCAACGCGUCCUGCGCGGCCGCCUUCAAGGACCGGCUGGCCGCGCUGCUCGCCGAGGGGAGCGUCCGCUGCGUGGUCACCGACGUGGUGUGGUUCUCGGCGCAGGCGGCAGCGAGGGACCUCGGCGUGCCGGCGCUGGCGCUCAUGACGAGCAGCGCGGCCAGCUUCCGGACCUUCAUGGCCUACCCGGCGCUGCUCGCCAAGGGCCACCUGCCUUACGACGAGUCGCGGGCGGACGCUCCCGUGGAGGAGCUGCCGCCGUUCCGGGUGAGAGACCUGCAGCGGCUCGACGCGAGCAGCCUCGACACCUUCGCCGGCCUGCUCGAGCGGUUCGUCGACGCAGCGAGGCGGUCGUCGGGCCUCAUCGUCAACACCUUCGACGCGAUCGAGGGCCCCGUGGUCGGCGACAUCCGCGACGGCCUUUCCUUGCCGGUGUUCCCCGUCGGCCCCCUCAACAGAUUCUCGCCGCCGCCCCAAGACGGCUCCUCCAGCUGCCUGGACUGGCUGGACAACCAGUCGCCGGGAUCCGUCCUGUUCGUCAGCCUCGGGACCGUCGCCAGCGUCGACGCGCACGAGCUAGCGGAGCUGGCCCGAGCUGCCUGCCGGCCUGGCGGAGCAGAUAGGCGACCGAGGGAUGAUCGUCCCUUGGGGCCCUCAGGAGAAGGUGCUCGGCCACGCCGCCGUGGGCGCCUUCCUGACGCACACCGGGUGGAACUCGACGGUGGAGGCGCUGUCGGAGGGCGUGCCGAUGGCCUGCCUGCCGUGCUUCGGCGACCAGUUCGGGACGGCGAGGUACGCGUGCGACGUGUGGAAGGUGGGGGUGGAGGUGGGGAGGCUCGGCCGGGGGGGGCGUCCGGGCCGCCAUCGACAGGUUGA
rnacentral:rRNA from 1 species